ACCUAGAGGAAGCAUAGUUUUGACCAUCUUAACAAUCAUCUAGAACACACAAGUCACAAAAAGAUAAGGACUAUUGGUUACUAUGAGAGACUUCAGAUGGUCCAGAACACACAAGUUUGUAUCUACAUGCACAAAGUGCAAGCUACAAAACACUCGAAACACCAAAUGGUCUACAAGACAAUAAGGUCCAUGAUUACAGGUUGGUUGGUCCAUAAACACUAAAGAGUCAUCAUG
rnacentral:lncRNA from 1 species